UACGAGGGGGGCAAAUGUUGUUCGGAAUCACUGGGCGUAAAGGGUGCGUAGGCGGGUGUUUAAGUUAGGUGUUUAAUCCUGGGGCCCAACCCCAGUCGUGCACCUAAAACUGGACAUCUUGAAUAGUGGAGAGGUCAGUGGAAUUGGGGGUGUAGCGGUGGAAUGCGUAGAGAUCCCCAAGAACACCGGUUGCGAAGGCGGCUGACUGGACACAUAUUGACGCUGAGGCUCGAAAGCAUGGGGAGCAAACAGG
rnacentral:rRNA from 1 species